rnacentral:misc_RNA from 1 species
GUGGAUUUCAAAGCAGUCCCUCUGGUACAUGCUUAACUGAUUUGAGAUUGUUCUAUUUUACAUAUAAUAUAAUUAGGUUUUUGCUCAAAUAAUUAAUAAUAUAAAUGAAAGAAAUGACUUGCAUUGGAACCUUCAAUGUCAUUAUUGAUUCAUGAGACUCAGGUGAAUAUGAAAUGUGUUGUAAUUUUUAGUGUCUUUAGCUUUUUUACAAGAUACUGACUACUGAAAUGAUAAAAUUUAAUUUGGAAGCUUCCUGUAGCAAUUUGUAUUUCCCCUAUAGAAAAGCGUACUGUAUCAUGACAUGGUAAAUGGUCAAAGAAGCAUGAACCACCUUAUGUGUUUGUCUUUUUUUUACAAGUCUUCAAGAAUAUAGGCACUAUUUUUGUGGUAAAAUUAGGUUUACCUGUUCAUCCUUUUUAUGUUCUCUGGCUUGUUAUCGAGUAUUCAACAAAGGUAAAUGGGUUCCAAGUUUGAUAUGCUUAUCUGGGCUUCACAUGCUUGUAUGCAUGCAUUAUAUUACACUUAUUUUUAUUUUUCUGCAUUUAUAUUUCAUAGAGCCUCUUCAUAUAUGUCAAAUCCUUCCACACUUUAGAGAGAGAGGUCUUUUAUAAGACUCUAAAUUCUUGAAUGUGAAUUUGUGGAUCAGAAGGGAUAAUUGUUUGAUUUGGCUACUAUUGUUUGGAGAGUCAAAUAGGAAUCCUUUGAUGAUACAGGGGCUGAAGGACCUGAAUUUUCCUAGUGUUGUUGGGAGUGGACUACUUUGAGUGCCUCUUCUAAAGGCAAUAUAAUGUCUUUUGGGACAUCAGGCUAUUUGUUUCAUUGUUGCCUUUUCAAGUGAUUUAAUAGGCUCUAAUUGCCUCAAGCUGUUUGGGAUGGCAUUUGCAUCUGAUUUUUUAACACCUCUACCAACCUCAGAUUUUCUUUUUUGGCCUUUUUUCCUCUUCUCAUUGCAUAUUAUCUUAUUAAAAAGAGUAGCAGUAAUGUUGAGAGUUGGUGGUCUGCUGUUGAUUUGGGGAUGUGAUAUAAAUUUUGGUCAUAGAAUUGUCUUGGUGGCUUAUCUUAUUUGCACUACAGGUAGUGAAAUUUAUGAAACAUUUGAAGAUGAAGUGUUGGCCUCACUGUAGCACUAAUUCGUCCUGUAUAGAGAUGUUCUGGUUGUGGCUUCUAUGUGAAGGUCAUUUAGCGUUUUACACUUUCCACUCAUCUCUUCUCUAUUUUGAUAAGCUGUAAGCUUGCAAUUUUUAGAUGUUUAUCUUACCCAGACAGGUGUAAUAAUGUUGGAGCCAAGUGUGUUGGUCUAUUCUUUAUUAUUUUCUAAAGGUGCAGUGACAUUCCUCUGAUAAGCGUUAUAUCCUCUUGGCAUGGGCUUCUGAGUGGUUGAAAG